CUCCUCCUCUUCUUCACAGCGUUCGCGCCCACACCACUGGCAGCAGCAGCGACCUCCUCCAAGCUUCCCAGCCAGCCUCCUCCUUUCCCUGCUUGGCUCGCUCCUCUGCAGCAGCACCGGGCGGCAAGCUCGAGCGGCAGGUACACCACCGCCGCCACGGCCUCCGCGAAGCCGUUCACGGCGCACUACUUCCCGCAGGAGCUGGAUCACUUCACCUUCACGCCCAACUCCUCCCGCGUCUUUUCCCAGAAGUACCUCCUCAACGACACCUUCUGGCGGAAACCCACCGCCGGCGCCGGCGGCGUCGGCCCUCUGUUCGUGUACACGGGCAACGAGGGCGACAUCGAGUGGUUCGCCACCAACACCGGCUUCAUGUUCGACAUCGCGCCCGAGUUCGGCGCCCUCCUCGUCUUCAUCGAGCAUCGGUACUACGGGGAGUCGAAGCCGUUCGGAAACGACUCGUACACGUCGGCAGACACGGUGGGCUACCUGACGUCCACGCAGGCGCUCGCCGACUUCGCCAUCCUCAUCACCAGCCUCAAGCAGAACCUCUCUGCCGUCGACGCCCCCGUCGUUGUCUUUGGCGGCUGCUACGGCGGCAUGCUGGCUUCAUGGUUCAGGCUCAAGUAUCCCCAUGUCGCCAUGGGAGCACUGGCAUCCUCUGCUCCGAUACUGCAGUUCGACGACAUCACCCCGUGGUCUAGCUUCAACGACGCCAUCUCGCAGGACUUCAAGUCUGAGAGCCUGAAUUGCUUCAGUGUCAUCAAGGCGGUCUGGGAUCUGCUAGAGGACAAGGGAUCCAAUGACACAGGGCUCUUGGAGCUCAGCAAAACCUUUAGGGCCUGCAAGACGGUGCAUUCCGUUUAUCCGCUGGCAUUAUGGCUAAGGGCAGCAUUCACCACCACAGCCAUGGUGGACUAUCCAACUCCAGCCAAUUUCAUGAUGAAUCUGCCUGCUUACCCUGUGAAGGAGAUGUGCAAGAUCAUUGAUUCUUUUCCCGCGGAAGCAGACGUCAUCGGCAAAGCUUUCGCUGCGGCGAGCCUAUACUACAAUUACACAGGCGACCAGAAAUGCUUCGAGGUGGAGGGUGGCGAUGACCCUCAUGGCCUCCAUGGCUGGGGCUGGCAGGCCUGCACAGAGAUGGUCAUGCCGAUGACGGUGUCGAACGAGAGCAUGUUCCCACCGUCCAGCUUCAGUGACGAGAAGAGGUCGGAGGGCUGCCACCUGGUCUACGGAGUUCGUCCAAGGAUGCACUGGAUCACUACUGAAUAUGGUGGCCAUAAAAUUGACAAGGUUCUCAAGAGGUUUGGGAGUAACAUCAUCUUCUCCAACGGGAUGCGAGACCCAUGGAGUAGAUUUCAGGUGCUCAAGAACAUAUCAUCCAGCAUCAUUGCUCUUGUCACAGAGAAAGGGGCCCAUCAUUUGGACCUCAGAUCAGCAACCAAGGAUGAUCCAGACUGGCUUGUAGAACAAAGGAGACAGGAAGUUGGGAUCAUACAUGGAUGGAUAGAUCAGUAUAACAAGGACAUUGCGCAGAUGUAG
rnacentral:rRNA from 1 species